UACAGAGGUCUCAAGCGUUGUUCGGAUUCAUUGGGCGUAAAGGGUGCGUAGGCGGCGCGGGUAAGUCGGGUGUGAAAUCUCGGGAGCUUAACUCCGAAACUGCAUUCGAUACUGCCGUGCUUGAGGACUGGAGAGGAGACUGGAAUUUACGGUGUAGCGGUGAAAUGCGUAGAUAUCGUAAGGAAGACCAGUGGCGAAGGCGGGUC
rnacentral:rRNA from 1 species